GAAAUGCGAUAAGUAAUGUGAAUUGCAGAAUUCAGUGAAUCAUCGAAUCUUUGAACGCACCUUGCGCUCUUUGGUAUUCCUUGGAGCAUGCCUGUUUGAGUAUCAUGAAAUCUUAAAAGUAAAUCUUUUGUUAACUCAAUUGGUUUCUACUUUGGUAUUGGAGGUCUUUGCAGCUUCACACCUGCUCCUCUUUGUUCAUUAGCUGGAUCUCAGUGUUAUGCUUGGUUCCACUCGGCGUGAUAAGUUAUCUAUCGCUGAGGACACUGUAAAAGGUGGCCAAGGUAAAUGCAGAUGAACCGCUUCUAAUAGUCCAUUGACUUGGACAAUACUUUUAUGAUCUGAUCUCAAAUCAGGUAGGACUACCCGCUGAACUUAAGC
rnacentral:misc_RNA from 1 species